UAGGUUCAGUUGGACAGUUAGGUUCAGUUGGGCAGUUAGGUUCAGAUGGGCAGUUAGGUUCAGUUGGACAGUUAGGUUCAGUUGGGCAGUUAGGUUCAGUUGGGCAGUUAGGUUCAGUUGGGCAGUUAGGUUCAGUUGGGCAGUUAGGUUCAGUUGGGCAGUUAGGUUCAGUUGGGCAGUUAGGUUCAGUUGGGCAGUUAGGUUCAGUUGGACAGUUAGGUUCAGUUGGGCAGUUAGGUUCAGUUGGGCAGUUAGGUUCAGUUGGGCAGUUAGGUUCAGUUGGGGAGUUAGGUUCAGUUGGGCAGUUAGGUUCAGUUGGGCAGUUAGGUUCAGUUGGGGAGUUAGGUUCAGUUGGGCAGUUAGGUUCAGUUGGGGAGUUAGGUUCCUUCAAGAACCCCCACCAACUAAGGAGGUUCCUCGAUGAACCCCAUCUCCUGGGGUUAGGGUUAAGGUUAGAAGAACCUUUUAGGGGGCAUUUUCAGUCUCAAGAACCCUAAGGUUCUUCAAAGAACUUUGAGGAUCUCAGAAGAACCCUUGUUGAACCCCUACUUUUUUUUUUAGAGUGGACAUUAGUUUAUACUGGAUUAAGGGUACAUUUUCAUUAACUGUAAUUUCGUUAGUUAUUUUUAAGUCUUGGUUCCAAUAGUUUAUAUUAUUUUCUCAGAGAUUGUCAGUUGGAUAGGCUCUCGGCAAGGUUGUUGUAUAUCUUACCUAUUGUAUGAAUAUCUUUGUCUGACUCAGAUAGGAUUUAUCUUUUUUUAUGUAGAUUUCAUUAAGAAUGAUAAAAAAGAGAGAGGCUUUCCAUAAAACUGUAAUAUGAAAUGUUAUAUUAGAUUGUAAAUAAAACGUACACAU